CUGCGGCAGCGAACGUAUCACCCAAGACAACUUUACGGAGUUGACGAUUGACGGAGCGAAGCGACGUCAAAGCGUUCAUUAAAGUCGAGUUGGCUUAGGGAUACGUUCGUUGGGUAGGGGAGCGUUCUGUAAGCCUGUGAAGGUGUGUCGUGAGGCAUGCUGGAGGUAUCAGAAGUGCGAAUGCUGACAUAAGUAACGAUAAAGCGGGUGAAAAGCCCGCUCGCCGGAAGACCAAGGGUUCCUGUCCAACGUUAAUCGGGGCAGGGUGAGUCGACCCCUAAGGCGAGGCCGAAAGGCGUAGUCGAUGGGAAACGGGUUAAUAUUCCCGUACUUGGUGUUACUGCGAAGGGGGGACGGAGAAGGCUAUGUUGGCCGGGCGACGGUUGUCCCGGUUUAAGCGUGUAGGUGUGUGUUCCAGGUAAAUCCGGUUCACUUUAACACUGAGGCGUGACGACGAGGCACUACGGUGCUGAAGCAACAAAUGCCCUGCUUCCAGGAAAAGCCUCUAAGCAUCAGGUAACAUCAAAUCGUACCCCAAACCGACACAGGUGGUCAGGUAGAGAAUACCAAGGCGCUUGAGAGAACUCGGGUGAAGGAACUAGGCAAAAUGGUGCCGUAACUUCGGGAGAAGGCACGCUGACACGUAGGUGAAGUGAUUUACUCAUGGAGCUGAAGUCAGUCGAAGAUACCAGCUGGCUGCAACUGUUUAUUAAAAACACAGCACUGUGCAAACACGAAAGUGGACGUAUACGGUGUGACGCCUGCCCGGUGCCGGAAGGUUAAUUGAUGGGGUCAGCGCAAGCGAAGCUCCUGAUCGAAGCCCCGGUAAACGGCGGCCGUAACUAUAACGGUCCUAAGGUAGCGAAAUUCCUUGUCGGGUAAGUUCCGACCUGCACGAAUGGCGUAAUGAUGGCCAGGCUGUCUCCACCCGAGACUCAGUGAAAUUGAACUCGCUGUGAAGAUGCAGUGUACCCGCGGCAAGACGGAAAGACCCCGUGAACCUUUACUAUAGCUUGACACUGAACAUUGAGCCUUGAUGUGUAGGAUAGGUGGGAGGCUUUGAAGUGUGGACGCCAGUCUGCAUGGAGCCGACCUUGAAAUACCACCCUUUAAUGUUUGAUGUUCUAACGUGGACCCGUAAUCCGGGUUGCGGACAGUGUCUGGUGGGUAGUUUGACUGGGGCGGUCUCCUCCUAAAGAGUAACGGAGGAGCACGAAGGUUGGCUAAUCCUGGUCGGACAUCAGGAGGUUAGUGCAAUGGCAUAAGCCAGCUUGACUGCGAGCGUGACGGCGCGAGCAGGUGCGAAAGCAGGUCAUAGUGAUCCGGUGGUUCUGAAUGGAAGGGCCAUCGCUCAACGGAUAAAAGGUACUCCGGGGAUAACAGGCUGAUACCGCCCAAGAGUUCAUAUCGACGGCGGUGUUUGGCACCUCGAUGUCGGCUCAUCACAUCCUGGGGCUGAAGUAGGUCCCAAGGGUAUGGCUGUUCGCCAUUUAAAGUGGUACGCGAGCUGGGUUUAGAACGUCGUGAGACAGUUCGGUCCCUAUCUGCCGUGGGCGCUGGAGAACUGAGGGGGGCUGCUCCUAGUACGAGAGGACCGGAGUGGACGCAUCACUGGUGUUCGGGUUGUCAUGCCAAUGGCACUGCCCGGUAGCUAAAUGCGGAAGAGAUAAGUGCUGAAAGCAUCUAAGCACGAAACUUGCCCCGAGAUGAGUUCUCCCUGAGACUUAGAGUCUC
rnacentral:rRNA from 1 species